rnacentral:rRNA from 1 species
CUUGGUCAUUUAGAGGAAGUAAAAGUCGUAACAAGGUAUUCGUAGGUGAACCUGCGUAUGGAUCAUUAUCGUUUAUCCUUAAAUACAACUUCGCACAAUCAUCUACCUAUGAUUGUGUCGCACCAUUAUGAAAAUAACAAGUUAUUUUUGAUAACUUGUUUUAAACCUUUCCAUUCAACAAAAUCAUUGUUGUUUUGUCUUUGAAUAUUAUUAUAUACAAAAAAAAACAAAAUAAUAUAAUUCUGUACGGUGGAUCACUCGGCUCGUUAUUCGAUGAAGAGCGCAGCAAAGUGCGAGAAAGCAAUGCGAAUUGCAGGACACAUUGAGCAUGAAUAACUCGAACGCAUCUAGCAGCCAAGACUUUAGUCGAGGCUAAAUUUGCUUCAGUCUUGUUUAUAUAACAUCAAAUUCAUUUAAUAAUUAAAUGAAUUGCUGGCAAGUUCAAUUAUAUUUAGCUUGCAAUACAUAUCUAAACAUACAUCAUUCUCUGAUGUAUACGUAUAAAACGAAGUUAUACACAAUACACAAUAUUUGUGUAAAUUGUCAUAACAUGAGAAAUCUUUAUCAUAUCCAUGUUAUUGACUCAUACAAAUAAAACAUGUGUGUGUAUAAAUGAAAUUAUCUACUUCUUCUCAACUUUCAAGCUGAAGUCAAAUUAGAAUACUUGCUGAACUUAAGCAUAUUAAUAAGCAAAGGAAAAGAAAUCAACUGAGAUUGCUUAGUAAUGGCGAAUGAACCGGCAAAAGCUCAUUGCUGAAGCGUGUUAAAUUCACUUUUGACAUGCAUUGUAGCAUUUGGGGUGACUAUUGUAUGGUGCCUGUUCGUGUGAGUUCCUUUGAUCAGGGCUUUAACCAUAGAAGGUGCUAGUCCUAUAAUCACGAAUAGUUUUGUGCUAUACAUUGUACACCUUUCGAGUAGCGUAGUUUGAGAUUGCUACGCCAACGUGGGACGUAAACUUGUUCCAAAGCUAAAUAUGAUAACGAGACCGAUAGCGAACAAGUACCGUGAGGGAAAGUUGAAAAGCACUCUGAAGAGAGAGUUAAAUAGUACGUAAAACCGUACAGAAGAAAACGAAUGGCCGCAUUCAUCAGAUUAUUUUGAAUUCAAUUCGAUCUCUAUAUCAUGGUAAUACGUAUUAAUUUGGAACUUCAACAGUCCAUUGAUAUGUUCUAUUGCCUAGAGUCGGAUGCAUUUUCAAAAUAUUAACUGAACCUGGAUCUAUAACAUUGAAAGCUAGUUGAAUCAGUCUAUUUUGGUAGCGAGUUUAACUCGUGUUAAAAAUAUGACUUGCAUAAAUAACAAAUUCAACUUGGCGUUAUAGGUAAAAAGACAAGUUUUUUGAUUUCAGUACUUUCGAGUACGGCAUGUCAUGAGCAUUGUUUGUGUCACAUGAGUAACUAAUAUCUAAAAAAUGUUAGUUUUAUUCAUUGUCGAUGCUUAAUGUUUUAUGACUGUCAAUGAAAUCGGCAAGUCAACAGGAGUUUUGAAUGCCGAGUCAUUCGACCCGUCUUGAAACACGGACC